CCAGCACCCUCACCCCUUACUCCCCAGAGGCAACUUCCCAAUAUCCCCAACUCUUGACCCCAAGUGGCCCAAUCCCUGACCCCCCAGUGGGGGACCUCCAAGCAUCCUUGACUCCAAAAAGGUGACUCCCAGUGCCACUGAUUCCUUGAUGUGAUCCAAGGCCCCUCAGGACUGUUGGCACCCCUGAUCGUUAUCCCCCAACCCCCAGCCCAGCCUCAGCCCAAUAUCUCUUACCUCUGGCCUGAUUCCUAGAGGUGACCAGAAUUUAAUGUCAGGGCCUAAAUAGUCAUUGAGUAGAUUGCAUUCCCAUUGGUGCCCUUGAAGACCUCACUUGUGCACCUGUGGGACCCCUGCCGGGGCAGAUAGGACAAGAGCUAGUGGGUGCUGGGCACAGCUCCUGUGGACCCGACAAAGGGGACCUGAGCAGUAUGGGAAGAGGGUGUGGAAAGACAGUGCCCACCCCUCUGAAAUUGAAGGAGGUGGGUGUAUCUCUUAGGAGCCAGCCUGAUACCAAAUUCACAGAGUUCACAAACUCUGUGAACUCUCUCUACCUAGUUGCUGUUGCCUAAAAUCCGGGAGUUCUGGAUUCUUCUUUUCCUCACCCUACAUAUCCAAACCCAUCAGCAAGUAAAAUCACUGCCUCCCCUAAAACA